ACGGGACAAAGACAGCAAAGUUCGCGAGGACAAGCAAAUCUCAUAAACCGUGGCUCAGUUCAGAUCGUAGGCUGCAACUCGCCUACGUGAAGGAGGAAUCGCUAGUAAUCGCAGGUCAGCAUACUGCGGUGAAUACGUUCCCGGGCCUUGUACACACCGCCCGUCACACCAUGGAAGUUGGCCACGCCCGAAGCCGUUACUCCAACCCUCGGGAGGAGGACGUCGAAGGUGGGGCUGAUGACUGGGGUGAAGUCGUAACAAGGUAGCCGUACCGGAAGGUGCGGCUGGAUCACCUCCUAA
rnacentral:rRNA from 1 species